GACGAACCGUGCGAACGUUAUUCGGAAUCACUGGGCUUAAAGCGCGUGUAGGCGGGAGGGCACGUCCGUCGCUGAAAUCCCCCGGCUCAACCGGGGAACGGGCGCGGAUACAACCUUCCUUGAGGGGCGUAGGGGGACCUGGAACUUCCGGUGGAGCGGUGAAAUGCGUUGAGAUCGGAAGGAACGCCCGUGGCGAAAGCGAGGUCCUGGACGCCUACUGACGCUGAGACGCGAAAGCCAGGGGAGCGAACGGG
rnacentral:rRNA from 1 species